rnacentral:rRNA from 1 species
GACGAACGCUGGCGGCGUGCUUAACACAUGCAAGUCGAACGAUGAUCAGGGAGCUUGCUUUCUGUGAUUAGUGGCGAACGGGUGAGUAACACGUGAGUAACCUGCCCCAGACUCUGGGAUAACCUCGGGAAACCGGGGCUAAUACCGGAUAUGAAGCGUUCCCGCAUGGGAUGCGUUUGGAAAGAUUUAUCGGUCUGGGAUGGACUCGCGGCCUAUCAGCUUGUUGGUGAGGUAAUGGCUCACCAAGGCGACGACGGGUAGCCGGCCUGAGAGGGCGACUGGCCACACUGGAACUGAGACACGGUCCAGACUCCUACGGGAGGCAGCAGUGGGGAAUAUUGCACAAUGGGCGCAAGCCUGAUGCAGCAACGCCGCGUGGGGGAUGAAGGCCUUCGGGUUGUAAACCCCUUUUAGUAGGGAAGAAGCGAAAGUGACGGUACCUACAGAAAAAGCGCCGGCUAACUACGUGCCAGCCGCCGCGGUAACAC